UCAAAUAAAAUCCAUUGGCUGAGCUAGGAGAAGCUGACUGAGCCAAAGGGAGAUGGGGGUCUUGGCUUCCAUGACAUCUACGGCUUCAACAUGGCUAUGCUCGCGCGUCAAGGAUGGAGAAUGUUGCAAAACCCAGAGUCCCUGUGUGCUCGGGUGCUUGGGGCGAAAUAUUUCCCCGAUGGAAAACUGCUGAAUGCAAGGGAGAUAAGCAACAUGUCCUACACAUGGAGGAGUAUUUUGAAAGGCAUAGUUAUUCUGAAAAAAAAGGCCUCAUUUGGCGGGUGGGAAAUGGCAGUCUAUCAAUAUAUGGACAAACCCGUGGAUCCCUAG
rnacentral:rRNA from 1 species